rnacentral:rRNA from 1 species
GCCAACGGCCAUACCACGUUGAAUACACCGGUUCUCGUCCGAUCACCGAAGUUAAGCAACAUCGGGCGUGGUUAUAGUACCUGGAUGGGUGACCGCCUGGGAACACCGCGUGCUGUUGGCU